rnacentral:rRNA from 1 species
AGAGUUUGAUCCUGGCUCAGGAUGAACGCUGGCGGCGUGCCUAAUACAUGCAAGUCGAGCGAACCACUUCGGUGGUGAGCGGCGAACGGGUGAGUAACACGUAGGUGAUCUGCCCAUCAGACGGGGACAACGAUUGGAAACGAUCGCUAAUACCGGAUAGGACGAAAGUUUAAAGGUGCUUCUGGCACCGCUGAUGGAUGAGCCUGCGGCGCAUUAGCUAGUUGGUAGGGUAAAGGCCUACCAAGGCGACGAUGCGUAGCCGACCUGAGAGGGUGAACGGCCACACUGGGACUGAGACACGGCCCAGACUCCUACGGGAGGCAGCAGUAGGGAAUCUUCGGCAAUGGGCGAAAGCCUGACCGAGCAACGCCGCGUGAAUGAUGAAGGCCUUCGGGUUGUAAAAUUCUGUUAUAAGGGAAGAACGACUUUAGUAGGAAAUGGCUAGAGUGUGACGGUACCUUAUGAGAAAGCCACGGCUAACUACGUGCCAGCAGCCGCGGUAAUACGUAGGUGGCGAGCGUUAUCCGGAAUUAUUGGGCGUAAAGAGCGCGCAGGUGGUUGAUUAAGUCUGAUGUGAAAGCCCACGGCUUAACCGUGGAGGGUCAUUGGAAACUGGUCGACUUGAGUGCAGAAGAGGGAAGUGGAAUUCCAUGUGUAGCGGUGAAAUGCGUAGAGAUAUGGAGGAACACCAGUGGCGAAGGCGGCUUCCUGGUCUGUAACUGACACUGAGGCGCGAAAGCGUGGGGAGCAAACAGGAUUAGAUACCCUGGUAGUCCACGCCGUAAACGAUGAGUGCUAA